AAUGGAAAUGAGCUGAAGACGAGCAUGAAUAUAUUACUCUCGCCUCUUGACUACCGAUGUAAGGCCUGGCUCCCUGACUAGAUGAACGGAAACUGGAAGCCGAAGAAGUCCUUUACCCCUCAAAUUCCUUUCGCCAGAAUGUUUUAUCACAACGACGGGAAAAGAAACUAAGCAGUCCCCAUUUCAUUUGGAGUGACUCUUCUUAAUCACAGCUCACAGGUCACCUCACUCCACCUAAGCUGGCCUUCCCUAUCUUUGACACUCACAGUCCCGUCAAGUGUCACCUCCUCGAUGAAACCUGCUUAAAGCUGUAAACCGCUUGGACCCAUCCGGGCCCCUUUCCCACAGCUUCUACUGUUGUUCACCGGAGUUCAUCUUCUGAGGAUAGUCUCUCUACCCUGCACACAUACUAUAGCCAUCAGAGCAAGAGUUGUUUCUGUUGCUUAAAAAUGGGCAGGAGGGCUAGAGAGAUGGCUCAGCGGUUAAGAGCACUGACCGCUCUUCCAGAGGUCAUGAGUUCAAAUCCCAGCAACCACAUGAUGGCUCACAACCAUCUGUAAUGAAAUCUGAUGCCCUCAUCUGGUGUGUCUGAAGAUAGCUACAGUGUGUAUAUAUAUAUAUAUAUAUAUAUAUAUAUAUAUAUAUAUAUAUAUAUAAUAAAAUCUUUUUUUUUAAUGGGCAGAAGCUGACAGUCAUCCUCACGUGUUUGCUGCUGAAAUAAAUGUCCCCAGAUUGCACACUUCUCCGGCACAGUGGCUCUCUUGUUCAUUGUUAUGUCCCUAGUGCUUAGGACAACACCUGGCACUAAAUGAAGGUGAGCACCUAUUUUAAAAACCAAGCUGUGUCCCAUCCCACGUCGACCUUGGUGAAGUCCGAGUACGCUUGUAUCCAACGGGUUCAGCUGUCCUGGAGGACUGAAAGUCCCGGUUAGCAUUAGGUUAGCACGUAGACAAGCCAGAAAAGAAUGUGUGUGACACAGCAUGUCUGUUCAUUUCCUCAAGCCUGCGGAGCCAAAAUGAGACUGUAAACAAGGACUGGCUCCUGCCCACGCCCAAAAGAAUAACAAGAGAGAAAUCUGGCAGUGCGGGCAGAGUUAUAAGUGCAAUCAAAACGCAGCAGCACCCAUAGUCAUAAUUGCCCAGGAGAAAGGAGAGAAAGCAGCACUGGGCAGUCCCUGAACCAGACCUGAGUUCCUGUUUGCAAGACAGCAAAGCCACCUUCAUCAUCUUCAAGUUCUUUCGGGAAGUCCCAGGAAGGAGACUCUAAAAACAUUGCAGAGGAAAGGAAUCUGGACACAUGGUGCAAACAGGGAGAAUGCCACGGGAGAGAUGAGAGCUGUGCACCAGCAAGCCAAGCACAAGAGUUGCCAGCAAGCCACACAGAGCCAAGAGAGGGGUAUGAACAGAUUAUCCCUCAAAGAAAAAUAAUUAAAAAAUGACCUUGUAGCUACCUUGAUCUUACAAGUCCAGACUCCAAAACUUUAGGACAGUAACUUUCAGGGUUUUUAGCCACCAGUUUGUGAGUUUGCUAUGAAAGUUCUAGAAAACUAACAUGAAGCAAGUUCUAAAAGUG